rnacentral:lncRNA from 10 species
UAUAACACACAGAGCUAGUUAAAAAAACCCUGGAGAUCGCCCAAAAAUGUUCUUUUUUUAGUAUUUUAAAUAAGUGCUCUUCAGCCGGCAACCAACACCCUCCCUCCAAAAAUUGAAUGCGUUUAAACGGGAGGACUCGCAGAGCAAUGUUUCCGAAAGGGGGAUCUGCGCGAAUGUCUGUAUAUAGUGAACUUUGACACUACUAUUGAAACUGACACGUUUCUAUGGAGAUCGCUGCCUUAUAUGGAGCUCGUGUCAAGGAGCCAAGAGAAGGGCU